AACGCUGGCGGCGUGCUUAACACAUGCAAGUCGAACGGAAAGGCCCUGCUUUUGUGGGGUGCUCGAGUGGCGAACGGGUGAGUAACACGUGAGUAACCUGCCCUUGACUUUGGGAUAACUUCAGGAAACUGGGGCUAAUACCGGAUAGGAGCUCCUGCUGCAUGGUGGGGGUUGGAAAGUUUCGGCGGUUGGGGAUGGACUCGCGGCUUAUCAGCUUGUUGGUGGGGUAGUGGCUUACCAAGGCUUUGACGGGUAGCCGGCCUGAGAGGGUGACCGGCCACAUUGGGACUGAGAUACGGCCCAGACUCCUACGGGAGGCAGCAGUGGGGAAUAUUGCACAAUGGGCGGAAGCCUGAUGCAGCAACGCCGCGUGCGGGAUGACGGCCUUCGGGUUGUAAACCGCUUUCGCCUGUGACGAAGCGUGAGUGACGGUAAUGGGUAAAGAAACACCGGCUAACUACGUGCCAGCAGCCGCGGUGAUACGUAGGGUGCGAGCGUUGUCCGGAUUUAUUGGGCGUAAAGGGCUCGUAGGUGGUUGAUCGCGUCGGAAGUGUAAUCUUGGGGCUUAACCCUGAGCGUGCUUUCGAUACGGGUUGACUUGAGGAAGGUAGGGGAGAAUGGAAUUCCUGGUGGAGCGGUGGAAUGCGCAGAUAUCAGGAGGAACACCAGUGGCGAAGGCGGUUCUCUGGGCCUUUCCUGACGCUGAGGAGCGAAAGCGUGGGGAGCGAACAGGCUUAGAUACCCUGGUAGUCCACGCUGUAAACGGUGGGUACUAGGUGUGGGGUCCAUUCCACGGGUUCCGUGCCGUAGCUAACGCUUUAAGUACCCCGCCUGGGGAGUACGGCCGCAAGGCUAAAACUCAAAGGAAUUGACGGGGCCCCGCACAAGCGGCGGAGCAUGCGGAUUAAUUCGAUGCAACGCGUAGAACCUUACCUGGGUUUGACAUGGAUCGGGAGUGCUCAGAGAUGGGUGUGCCUCUUUUGGGGUCGGUUCACAGGUGGUGCAUGGCUGUCGUCAGCUCGUGUCGUGAGAUGUUGGGUUAAGUCCCGCAACGAGCGCAACCCUUGUUCACUGUUGCCAGCACGUUAUGGUGGGGACUCAGUGGAGACCGCCGGGGUCAACUCGGAGGAAGGUGGGGAUGACGUCAAGUCAUCAUGCCCCUUAUGUCCAGGGCUUCACGCAUGCUACAAUGGCUGGUACAGAGAGUGGCGAGCCUGUGAGGGUGAGCGAAUCUCGGAAAGCCGGUCUCAGUUCGGAUUGGGGUCUGCAACUCGACCUCAUGAAGUCGGAGUCGCUAGUAAUCGCAGAUCAGCAACGCUGCGGUGAAUACGUUCCCGGGGCUUGUACACACCGCCCGUCAAGCCAUGAAAGUUGGUAACACCCGAAGCCGGUGGCCUAACCGUUGUGGGGGAGCCGUCGAAGGUGGGACUGGUGAUUAGGAC
rnacentral:rRNA from 1 species